UGCAUUGCCGGAUCUGUUCAUCAUUUUUAUCAUCACCCAUGGGAACAUAGGCAGAACACUAGGGACGGAUCAUGGAGAAAAAUUUCAUGUUUCACAUCUGAAGUCCGUAUUGAACCAAAGUCCUGCUCUUUCAAAUGCCCUCAAGCUCCUUUACAUUGCGGCAUGCAGAGGUCUAAUCGUAGACGAAUUGGUUCAAGGGCGGUUUAACCCUCCCCCUAGAAAAAACAGAAUGAUGAGCAGAGAUAUUGACGUAAAAGGGCAAAAUAAUCUGAAUGCAGUGCGAGUGACUGUUGAUGUUGACCCGAUCCACGAAAAUUGCGUCACAAUAUUUGAAUGUGUUGAAACAACUUCUGCGCUGGUUAGGAAUGGCUCAAAUUUGGUGAAUGCGUUCUGCGCAACCUUUAGGACUGUGGAGAAGGACAUCGGCCUCGAUGAGUUUCUCACCAGAUGCAUGUGCCAACACCAUUACACGGAAACUCAGAGGGGGUACGGACCCACCCCUGAAAUCAAGGUUCUCAAGCAUAGGCCGCUCACCAUAUCAAAGAAAUUUUUCGAGAGUCCCACGUCUUGGAGGUGCGUGAUGGUAAGGACGGCAAAACUAGGAUGAGAGAAGACGCCAUGUAAAAGAGGGUCGAUAAAAUGCGAAACGCUUUAUAUCCCUAUUGCCAAUAUGUACAAUA